GCAUGGAUGAAUACUGUGUUUUCUUUGUCGGUAGUUAACACAGCCAGACACCAUGCAAAAGUACAUUCUCCUCCUUUGAAAUGGUCUUAAUGGUAUGCUAAGAAUUGCCAUCAGCAUGCUAUUACUCAAGGGGAUCACAAGC
rnacentral:snoRNA from 15 species